rnacentral:misc_RNA from 1 species
UCCGGUUUAGUACCGGCAGUCGCGCUAGACAUGGUAACUAGCGCCGAGGGUUGCGCUCGUUGCGGGACUUAACCCAACACCUCACGGCACGAGCUGACGACAGCCAUGCAGCAUCUGUGCUGGUGCUCGACUUUACGAGUGGUUCCCCUUUCGGGGUUCUACUUCCAGCAUGUCAAGCCCAGGUAAGGUUCUUCGCGUUGCUUCGAAUUGAACCACAUGCUCCACCGCUUGUGCGGGCCCCCGUCAAUUCCUUUGAGUUUCAGCCUUGCGGCCGUACUCCCCAGGCGGGGUACUUAUUGCGUUAGCGACGGCACCGAAGGGGUCGCUCCCCCCGGCGCCUAGUACCCAUCGUUUACGGCGUGGACUAC